CCUUCGAUAUGGGUCACGUCUCUGCUGCUGCGCUCUGUUAGCCGCGUCAUGUGUUACAGAGGGAAGCCAAUCCGCGCAACAGGAAUUCAAAACAAUGACAGCUAUUCAUAUAUGAAUGAGUAUUUUACAAUAAAACAUCUUGAAAAUCCAUUCAGGAAGAAAAAGCAAAACAAUCAGAUGAAAAACAGUUCGACACAAGUAAAGGAAAUAACAAAAUACAGUGAGUCAGUCCUGCUCAACAGAGACACACGGGAAUACAGUUUGCCGUACUGUAAGCAACAAGAGUGUCUUAUCCAGCAUCCAGGAUUUCUGCAGCACUGAUAAGAUUCACCCAACUACCUUGACCAUGUAUCGGAACAAGUGGACAAAUACAGGGGGCAGACUGUGUCUCUGGAGAAGCCAGCAGGGUAUCCAAUGAGAACUGGGGGGCUAGAUGACACAAUCUAUGCAGAAAUGGAGGAUGAGCUUGAAGCAUGGGAAGAUUUGUACCUUCAUGAAAGAGUAGAGAUGAGAGUUAUCGGUGCCAUUGAUAUGUUCGAGUCUGGCAGUGAACCUGCAGCUGAUCAUUCUGGCAGGCAGAGAUGACAACAUCUAUGCUUAUGAAAAUGAGGUGUUGCACCAAGUGGCUGACAGCUUGCAGGACCUCUUACAAAAUGGAAUUUAGUUUCCUGGAACCAAAGUCUACAACUAUGGGAAAUGUUUUGCUCCUAUGAUGGAAGAAGAAUAUGAUCAAUUAAUGCAGGAUGAAGAAGUAAAGAAAAUGAAAGGGGAGACCAGGAAAUUCAACAAAAGCAAAGAAGCCGAAUUUCUGGGCAUACUGGCCCGCAUUGAAGAAAAAGAGAAUGCAGAAAAGGUUGAAUCCAGUGAAGUUAUGCCUUCUAAUCACCAGUGCCCCAAGAAUGUAGUAGUUCAGUUGUGGAAGCAUGCAGAUAAAUCGUUCAUAUUUCAUUUAAGUGAUGCCUAUUAUGAGAUGUGGUGCAAGAUCUUC